rfam:Xenopus tropicalis strain Nigerian scaffold_148_contig_13, whole genome shotgun sequence.
UGGCUGUGCAUUAUUACUUUUGGUACGCGCUGUGUCACAUCAAACUCGUACCGUGAGUAAUAAUGCGCAGCUG